rnacentral:sRNA from 1 species
AUUUUCCUCCUGCGCAUCCCCCGCCCCUGACUGCCUUCCUAGCCCUCGCUCCCACCCGCCCCCUGCCCUUGCUCUGCGGUUUCCUCCGCUUCACCCUUCUCCUGCCACCCCCUGCCCCCCAACAGCAGGUCGGGACCCUCGGAGAUGCGGUGCCCACGGAGCAGCUGCAGGGUGAGCGGGAGCGCGAGCGGGAGGGGGAGGGAGACGCGGGCGGCGACGGACUGGGCAGCAGCCUGUCGCUGGCCGUGCCCCCAGGCCCCCUCAGCUUUGAGGCGCUGCUCGCCCAGGUGGGGGCGCUGGGCGGCGGCCAGCAGCUGCAGCUCGGCCUCUGCUGCCUGCCGGUGCUCUUCGUGGCUCUGGGCAUGGCCUCGGACCCCAUCUUCACGCUGGCGCCCCCGCUGCAUUGCCACUACGGGGCCUUCCCCCCUAAUGCCUCUGGCUGGGAGCAGCCUCCCAAUGCCAGCGGCGUCAGCGUCGCCAGCGCUGCCCUAGCAGCCAGCGCCGCCAGCCGUGUCGCCACCAGUACCGACCCCUCGUGCAGCGGCUUCGCCCCGCCGGACUUCAACCAUUGCCUCAAGGAUUGGGACUAUAAUGGCCUUCCUGUGCUCACCACCAACGCCAUCGGCCAGUGGGAUCUGGUGUGUGACCUGGGCUGGCAGGUGAUCCUGGAGCAGAUCCUCUUCAUCUUGGGCUUUGCCUCCGGCUACCUGUUCCUGGGUUACCCCGCAGACAGGUUUGGCCGUCGUGGGAUUGUGCUGCUGACCUUGGGGCUGGUGGGCCCCUGUGGAGUAGGAGGGGCUGCUGCAGGCUCCUCCACAGGCGUCAUGGCCCUCCGAUUCCUCCUAGGCUUUCUGCUUGCCGGUGUUGACCUGGGUGUCUACCUGAUGCGUAAGUGGCACCCUCCCAGAAUUCCCUCCCUUGGGUCUCAUGCCUACCUGCCUGCAUCCCCAGGCCAUCCUCACUGCCCCCUAGGCCACAUUUCAGCUGCCUAGAAUCUCAGCUAUCUUUCUGCCCAGGCCCUUGAAGAAUCCAGGGCUCUUGCUUCUCUCUACACCUAUCUCCCCCUCCCAACAAUCUUUAAAGUCUUCGCCCUGGACUUACUGCUGCCAAGGAAUAAGGUGCUAUUCCCCUGACAGCAGUAAGUCCGGGGACAAGGAUUGUCCCUAGCUGUGCGACCUUGGACAAGGGUUGAUGUGAAGGUCAAAUGAGAGGCCUGAUGGGAAAGGGCCUAUAAAUUGGAAAUGUUGAACACUCACCCGGGACUCUGGCCCUAGAGCCCUCCUAGGUUUGAGCAGGAGAGGAGAGAGGGCUGAACAAUCUCCCCAAUCCUUGCCACCCAGAGGUUAGCAAGGGAGGCAAUGGCUGCAGCCUCCACUCUGGGUCUGACCUCGCUCUCUGUCCUCCUCCCUCCCUCUCUCCUCUUCUCUCUUAUGCCUUCUUCCUCCCUGGCCUCCCUCUCCUCUCUCCACCCCUGCUGUAUCUCCAGGCCUGGAGCUGUGCGACCCAACCCAGAGGCUUCGGGUGGCCCUGG